GCCCCCGCAACACCCGCGAGGCCUCGAUGUCAUCGUCCAGGAGGGCGCGCUCUGAUCCUCCUCCGCCGGGCCCCGAUCCGAUUAAAGAGAACCGUCGACAGCGAGACGAAGCGGCUCCUCGACUCCCCCGUCUUCCUUCCCCAAACUUCUUCGCCUGUUCGUCUGCGCAUUCGAUUCGAUCUGUCUAGCGCGGCCUCAUCAAGACAUUCCAAUCCAAGGAUGGUCGGCAAGAGAGGACCAGAUCGAGGGCGAGGGAUCAAGCUCGAAUCAAGCGCGGAUGUCUUCGUCUUCCAGGCCGUGAAGUUGUUGACCCAGUUAUUAUCGUGUACUCGGUUGAGGAUGUAGUCCACGAAGGUGUCCCGGCCCUGCUGUGCUACUUAGUGGUAAUCAAGCUGUUUCUCACCCGGUGGUGGCUGCGAAUGAGGACCAUGUUUCAUCGAACGACGAGUUGUUUGAUCGGAGGAUAUCGAUGAAGCAAAGAGAUUGCACUAAGAAACUUUUGAAAAAGAAAUCUGAUCCGCUAUACAUUCAUGACAAAGAUUUGGAUGUGCUAUUGGUGCCGAAUCAAGACAACGGUCCUUUGGAUAUCGUACCUAAUUUUAUUUUGUUUGUUUAAUUCAGUAACUACAAUCUUGGAUUAAAUACUUAUUUCAUAUUUAUGCUUGUUUUCAUAUUUAUUGCCAUGUUGAAUCAUGUGUAUUGCAAUAUAAAUGUUUUACGAUCCUAGUUUUGGGAUAAAGUUUAAGUUAGAACUUGGGGUCUCUGUAUUUAGAGAUCGAGGGAGUGUAUUACAUGAAAUUACAACUAUAGAGAAAGGU